CAGUAGCCGCGGGAAAACGGAGGGUGCAAGCGUUAAUCGGAUUUACUGGGCGUAAAGCGUGCGUAGGCGGCUUCUUAAGUCGGAUGUGAAAUCCCUGAGCUUAACUUAGGAAUUGCAUUCGAUACUGGGAAGCUAGAGUAUGGGAGAGGAUGGUAGAAUUCCAGGUGUAGCGGUGAAAUGCGUAGAGAUCUGGAGGAAUACCGAUGGCGAGGGCAGCCAUCUGGCCUAAUACUGACGCUGAGGUACGAAAGCAUGGGGAGCAAACAGGAUUAGAUACCCCUGUAGUCCCUGUCUCUUAUAC
rnacentral:rRNA from 1 species